GAGUGUAUUUGUGUGGGCAGGAUUUAAGACGAGGGAUGCAGUUUGUUUCUGUGUGUGUGUGUGUGUGUGUGUGCGUGCGAGUAUCAGAGUAAUUGUGUACACGCUGUAUCAGUGAACACGCGAAAGCUUGUACGAGCAGGUGUUUUUCGCUAACUGCACUCCUGAGCUUGUUUACGUGCGUGUCGUGUCUAACCACUUGCACGUGAAGGCGUCACAAACUCAAGACACGUUAAUGUGCGAUCGCUUACAAGUGUGUUACUUCGCGUGAAGAUUGUCAGCGACGCUGCUCGUAGCCUGUGGGUGUGCGUGGGCAUGUGCAUUUUUUUUUUUUUUGAUGCUCUCGUGUUUCGUGGUUGUGUACCUGCCGUGAUAUCUGACACCUUUUCAGCAACUAAAGGUAAUAAUGCAUGGAUCGCUGGGAAAGAAAUAAGUCCUAUUAAGGUGGCUGGUAUCUAUGAGGUUGCUGUUGCCCAAACACUGAAGAUGGAACUUCUCCCCCUCUCUAGGCAGAUCGCUCUCAGGCCGGAUGCUCACCUUUGGGGAGUCUGCGUCACCAUCUCUCUGCCUCCCACAAUGACAUAACCUCCUUACACAACGACAUCACUUUCCCUCGGCGACGCAGUUCCGCCGUCUCGCCCACAGGGUGGCAGCACCGGCACAGGCUCCGACGCGGCUCCAUUUAUAGUUUCAUUGUGGAUGAUGACCUGCUCUUCUUAUUCACUGUGACUCGACUCUGGGCAAGUGCACCAGCAGAGGAAGGUUAAAUUCCUGUGUGGUCAUUAUAAACGGCGGCUAAUGUGGAAUCAUUGGAGCCGAGAUCAGGCUGCUAAGGUGGGGGGAUGUGCCCA